AGUUUGGUCUGUGUUUUUCAGUUUCUGUCUGUUCAGUUUGAGUUUGUCAGGCAACGUCAAUGUUAUGUGUGUCACCAGCGUUUCCUUGCAUGGAAUUACCUGUCUGUGGAUUUAUUAAAGACUGUUUAUCUUCAUAUCUUCAUUUUUUGAUCAAGAAACACUGAAGUUCAGCUGAAUAUGAGCAACAAAGCUACAUGCUGAUCAAGACCUUCUCAUGUUCAGCUUUUUUGUGGAUUGUGUUACUUCUUAUUGACGGUAGAUACGUUGCAUGUGCAGUAUUUUCACCACAUCCUCCAUGUAACAACACAAUAGAUGUGAAAGUACUUCAGUCCACUCCAGAAUUUUUCCAAUCUAAGCUUGUAGGUUUUUUGCUGUUACAUUGUAUGCUGCUACUAGCCUUCCUUACUACAGCUGUUGCACAUCUGAAAAAAUGGUGCAACCAGAGGAGCAAUGCAAAUACAGCAUUAUACAACAGGAUGAAUCCUGAAAACAUUUACGGGGCAACGGGAAUAAGCCAGAGUAUUGACAGUACCUGAACAAAACAACCAGAAAACCACGAUUGAAAAAGACUGUUAAAACCAGAUCAGUUACAGUGUAAGAAAAGUGUUACCUGUAAUAUACAGAGUGUAAAAUUGAACACCAUUGAUUUUCAUUGCGUAUGUAUUGUACUCUAAAAUGAUUUCUUAUUUCAUCAUAAACAGCAAAUCAUGACACACUGUAUGAAUACAUUGAUUUGGUAUGCUGUCUUAAAUGUAUGCAAAUUCAAUUAUCCUAUGUGACCAUAUAUAAGAAUGGAAACCAUGUUGUAAAAUGCUGGGUUGACAUUUUAAACCACAGGUUAAAGGCUCAUUUUUAUUCCACUUUUUUGCAAACUAAUGCUUUAUUUUGUAGAAUCAUUUGUAGAAUCUAACAGCUGUCUAACAGU